rnacentral:lncRNA from 1 species
CCGGUAAUGAGAAUCUAGCAGAUGCAUGUCAAAGUAGAGAGUGGUUACUCUUGUAUUGAAGUAUUUAAAAUAUUUGAGAAAACAUUAAGCUGGUUUAAUUGUUGUUUGCCUCCUGAAAAAAGAAGUUGUCAAAAUAAUGACAACGCUUGUACAUACAGAUUGUUCAAGUCAUAAUUUCAAACAUUUACAAUCUGCUAAGUCAUGAUAAAAAUAAAAUAAAAUUGACCACAUGAAAUAAUUUAUGGAAACAAGAGUGGUGUCAAGUACUAUACACAUUAUAAAUGUAUUUGAAAUCAUCAGACUAAUACAAAAAUUCAGUCCAGCAGGCUUUACAAUUUUCAUUUUUCUAAAAAAAAUGGUUUAUACAAUCUUUUACAAAAAGCAAAAAAAUAAUUAUAAUGAUAUUGAUGUCAAUGUACAAUGAACAAUGAAAUAAUUUGAUUUGUUUUCCUUUUGAACACAUGUCAUAUAAUGCUACAUCAAUCAAUAGAUAAUAUUAUGGCCUCCCAUUUCCACCAAUCAUAACAUGGCUCAAAUUUGGGUAUAAGAAUUAUCAUUAUUGAGUAGUAAUCCAAAACAGAUGGUAUAGGCAACAUAUCACUCUAUGAUUAACACACAAUCUAGUGCAGUGGAGUACAGAAACUUCAACUUAGAUAUUAAUGUAAUUGCUGAAAGUUUAACUUCCUAAAUAUCCAGUAAUUUUGUGUGAUAAACUAAACAUUAAGAAGUAUUUUGACAGAUGGAAGCAUUAAAAUUCGAAUGAAUACAGGAUAGAGACAUGGAGUUAGCAAGAAUUCAAGAAUAGCCAGUUAAAUCUUCGGGAAUUAGGGGUUCAAUUAUAUCUUGCUGUGCAAACAGAGACAUUAUUUUCCCGGGAAUUCUGGAUUUGGCGAGUAUUUUUUUAAUAACACAGGAUGAGACCCCUUCCUUCCCCUCCCCUUGUAAUAGUUAGAAAAUGUUUGUGUAAGAAUUUUGACAAUCCUAUGAAAAAUGAACCUUGUGAACAUGUAUAGUCAGGUAGAUCAGAAAACAAAACCGGGAACCAGGCUUCAUUAGACAAUUAAAUGUGUAAUAUAUAAACAGCUAUACUGUAUAGCACAUACUUAAAAUAACUAAAUAAAAUGUAGUUUGGUAAAUGACAAUAAUCUAGCCUUUUAAGGAUUUUUUCUUUCAAAUGGAUGUGGGAGGGUACUUCUAAAAUCCCCCUCCCCCAACAACAAAUAUACCUUUUAUUUUAGUGAUUUUGUAAACAAAAAGUGGACAUACAACCAUAAAUAACCCAUGACUAUUGUCAAAAUAUCAAACUUUCCUUCCCACAUCAAUAUUUAGAAAUGCCCUCAAAAGACCCAUAUUUACAUAAAGUAGAAAGACAUAAUAUAAACUUUAAAGUCAUGGGUAAAAAAUCAGUUUGCAAUUGCUUAGACUGGUACUUAAAUGAAAUAUA